UGGGGCCUGUGGGAACACAAGCGGAGCCCUGAAGGCUGACACCCUUCCUCAGGUCCAGCCAUUGCUGCUACUCAAGAAUCCCAGUGGAGAGAUGCCGGCUCUUCUGAUGACUCAUGACGAGCUCCACAGGUUUUAGGGGAAAGAAAUAGCAGCAUCAGUGGAUACAGAGUCAAAUGAUUUCUCUCCCAGGCUGCAUCUGUCCUCCAGUUCUUCCAUCAGUCUUCAUCAUCUCCCGGACUGUGUGCAGACAAAAAUCUUCUGAGAGAAGCCAGGCCUCUGUCUGCAGUCUCCUACCCCAUGACACGCUGUGCCCUAGGGCACUAGAUGGAGCUCUAUGGAAACAUUUCUAGGGGUAUGGAAGGUACUGGAGAAGAGGAGCUAAUGAGUUUGCAGGAUUGGAAUCUUUCAACCGGAACUGAGCAUUGCUCACAGGGACCCUGCCUCACAGAGGGCACCUUCUGAUGGAUGGCCUAUUUCUAGACCAUUGACUCUGUGGGUUAUACAUAGAAACACCAAGGGAGCUGGAGCCAUAGGAGUCUUCCUUAGGUUAUCUUAUGCCAGAGACAGUUAAGGCCCUGAGCCUCACGCAGAGGCCCAGGGUGAAAUGUCACCUUUGUCAUAUAUAGCUGGCCAAGUUUGGGUGAGGUCUUUGAUUUCUCUGAGAACCAGUGUCGUGUUCUCUAAAGCGGUGCAGACAAGUCCUCUUUCAUGCAGCUGGUCUAAAGACUAAAUGAUGGAGACCGCAAAUGUAUAAGGUCUGCAGAUAGGAACUAAAUGCAUAUGUCUCCAUGCAAGCACACACGUGGGUGUGGGAAGGCAAAUGCCCUUGGUAAUUAACAAGGGUUGAAAAUGCUAAUUCAGUCACCUGACCCCUCCUUUGUUCCUUAAACCUAGCAGCAAAGUGUUAGGCAUUGGAAAAGGAUAAAGUGAGGAGCAUAAGAAAGCUUGGCACCAUAUCAACUCAUUUCUAAAUCCUCCAAGCAUUUUUUUCAUCAUAACGUGUCUCCUUUUAACCUUGCAAGCCCAGAGAUAUUAAUAGUAAUGCUAACAUUACAGCUGACACAUAACAUUGAGUGGCAAGCAAUUUUCUAAAUAUUUUGCAUGCACAAAUUCAUUUAAGCUUCCUAAUGAUACUACAAGAUUGGUUCUAUUAUCAUUCUUAUUUUAUGUAUAAAGUCAUGGAGUCAUGCAUAGAAUAAUUUUCCAAUUUCACAUGCAGAGAAGGGAGAGUUUCCUCAUCUCUUCUAGGACUCCUGGCUAGAUGGGAAGUAAAAGACGACAAAAGCAGGAUAACAAGAGAAAGCCAGAACAAAUUUAUUCAGUCAGAAUUUUCCAUGACACAGGAAGCGUUAGAAUGAAGACCUGGAGACUCAGGGAAGAUCUGUUUUUAUGCUUAGUUUUAAUGAAGACUGGACAACCAUUAAAAAUGUGAUUGAACAAAAGGUCCUCAUGUAAUAGUAAUAGGCUGGAUUUCAUGGAGGCCUAUGCAGAUUCUUGUGGUCUCUCUGGGUAACAUUCCUGCCUGCUGGGUAUAUGGUGGGAUCUCUUCUGGGAAGUUUCCUGUGACCUACUAUCAUACGAGGGGAGGUGGAAAAUUUUCUUUUAGAUAGUUCUUACACAGAAAGCUGGGAGAAGGUGAGUCAUAUUUCCGGGUUUUAUGGCUGGUUUUGGGGAAGAGAGAUUCUAAUGUCUGGGACCUGCCCUGGGGGAAAAGGGGACCAGGAAAUUGAAGGGCAAGAGAAGGUCAGAACUAUGUUGCUUGUGACACUCUUUCCCUCAGUUAAAGGGUUAAGUACGCUGAGGGCGCCUCAUAUACUGUGUUCUAACUCUGACACACAUAAGUAUUUAUUGGCAUAACCAUGUUUUGUUAUUUUUAAUUUAAGUGUAAUUUAUUGUUAAAAAAUACUAGUGGUCAUAUGAGUUGUUAGAAAAAAGUGUUAUCAGAACAUUUUCCCAGUGUUGCCACAAGCCUUCAGAUUGUGAAAACAACACGUAAAACACGUGGUCUCUAGCAGGCACAAUCAAGCAAAGUGUGACAAAACAAGGUAUGCUUGUCGCUGCAGCUCAAAUGUUUCAUUCUGCCAUUAGUCUUCCGAUCAUAUCUGUUUUUCUUUCCUCUGUUCCACCUUGAGAGUUUAUCAAAGAGUUUCAGUAUUCCAUUUUAAGUCCUCUAUUGACUUUUGUGCUAUUCUUAUUGACUGAAUGUUUGUUGGCUCCCAAAAUCCAUAUAUCAAAAUCCCAAUGCUCAAUUGUGGUGGAAUUAACAGAUGAAGUCUUUGGUAGGUGAUAAGGUCAUGACAGUGGAGCGAUCAUUAAUGGGAUCGGAGCCUUUGUAAAAAGAGAUUCCAGAGCUCAGUCUUUCCUUCUGUUAUGUAAGGACACAUUGACAUGAUGACUAUCUGUGAACCAGAAAGCAGGGCUCCGGUAAACACUGAAUCUCACGCUGCCUAGAUCUAGAUUCUGCCAACUUUCAGAACUGUAAGAAAUAAAUGCUGUUGUUUAAAGACA